rnacentral:rRNA from 1 species
CCUACGGGAGGCUGCAGUGGGGAAUAUUGCACAAUGGGGGAAACCCUGAUGCAGCGACGCCGCGUGAGUGAAGAAGUAUUUCGGUAUGUAAAGCCCUAUCAGCAGGGAAGAAAAUGACAGUACCUGACCAAGAAGCCCCGGCUAACUACGUGCCAGCAGCCGCGGUAAUACGUAGGGGGCAAGCGUUAUCCGGAUUUACUGGGUGUAAAGGGAGCGUAGACGGUUAUGUAAGUCUGGAGUGAAAGCCAGGGGCCCAACCCCGGGACUGCUUUGGAAACUGUGUAACUGGAGUGCAGGAGGGGCAAGCGGAAUUCCUGGUGUAGCGGUGAAAUGCGUAGAUAUCAGGAGGAACACCGGCGGCGAAGGCGGCCUGCUGGACUGUAACUGACGUUGAGGCUCGAAAGCGUGGGGAGCAAACAGGAUUAGAUACCCGAGUAGUC